rnacentral:rRNA from 1 species
GACGAACGCUGGCGGCGUGCUUAACACAUGCAAGUCGAACGAUGAAGCCGCUUCGGUGGUGGAUUAGUGGCGAACGGGUGAGUAACACGUGGGCAAUCUGCCCUGCACUCUGGGACAAGCCCUGGAAACGGGGUCUAAUACCGGAUACGACCAUCGGCCGCAUGGCCUGGUGGUGGAAAGCUCUGGUGGUGCAGGAUGAGCCCGCGGCCUAUCAGCUUGUUGGUGGGGUGAUGGCCUACCACGGCGACGACGGGUAGCCGGCCUGAGAGGGCGACCGGCCACACUGGGACUGAGACACGGCCCAGACUCCUACGGGAGGCAGCAGUGGGGAAUAUUGCACAAUGGGCGCAAGCCUGAUGCAGCGAGGCCGCGGGAGGGAUGACGGCCUUCGGGUUGUAAACCUCUUUCAGCAGGGAAGAAGCUUUCGGGUGACGGUACCUGCAGAAGAAGCACCGGCUAACUACGUGCCAGCCGCCGCCGUAA